UACGUAGGUCCCGAGCGUUGUCCGGAUUUAUUGGGCGUAAAGCGAGCGCAGGUGGUUUAUUAAGUCUGGUGUAAAAGGCAGUGGCUCAACCAUUGUAUGCAUUGGAAACUGGUAGACUUGAGUGCAGGAGAGGAGAGUGGAAUUCCAUGUGUAGCGGUGAAAUGCGUAGAUAUAUGGAGGAACACCGGUGGCGAAAGCGGCUCGCUGGCCUGUAACUGACACUGAGGCUCGAAAGCGUGGGGAGCAAACAGG
rnacentral:rRNA from 1 species